UUAUGAACCUCUCCCUCUUCUUCCUCUAAUUGUGACCAUUUCCUCUGGCGGCGUGUAUUCAUGUUUUCUUGGACAUCUAACAAUUGAAACAGCUUUUCCCUUUCAGAAACACUCACAUUCAGGUUAUUGGCGUUGGUUUGGGUUUUGUUUUGGCUUUUUUUUUUUUUUUUCAUCUGCUGCCAAUUAAUGAGGGGGAAAAUGAGCUGGAUUUCUUAGAGGGAAAAAAAAGCUCCCUGCCACACAAUAUCCCGCCUCAGCAUUUUGUCUCAGAGCACAGCCUCCAACCCCUAACAGGCUGCGUUGCUCAGAGCCACAGGACUGUUGGGGUUUUUUUCCCUUUUCUUUCCCUCCAUUGCUGGCUUCAUUAUUGACCAUAAUGCCCCAACCACUUCAGCAGUAAUGUCCUUGAGCACCAAGGAGUCAAGGCCUUUUGGGCAGCCCCUCCAGAACAAGAUGGCGGCCCAGAAAGAAAGGAGGCUUUGUGGGGAGAGAGGGCCCACCUGCCUGUCAGGAUACAGGCUCACAGAGCAGCGCUUCUAAAGAAAGAGGUGAAAAGGCCCCUCUUCUGAAGGCUGGGCCAAUCCCAGCUGAGCUGUGCCUCCCCUCCCAGAGCAGCUCUGGUGGGCAGGCAGAGGGCCAUCUUGACGUAACUUCCAGCAGGGCCCUGGGAACAACAGGUGGAGCCCUUGGUGGAUGCUCUGCUUCUGCAGUCACAGGCCCCGGAGAUUGCCUUUUUAAGAUUCAGAACACCGAGCUCUGAUCAGCUCUCCAAUACACGCUCAGGGCAGCAGUUGAUGUCACUUGAUCAAGGGCCCAGCAGGGACAGACAGCCAGGCUUCCCAUGUGCUCUCACAGACCCCAAGGACAGUGCCUGCAGAAACGGGCAGAGAGGGCAGGCUGGCGAUUAGAGCGGCCCAUCGAUGCCCGUGAAGGGUCCUGGCGGGAUCAGAUGAUCAUCCGGCAAGCUGCCACGUCUUUUACCUUCCACCAGCGAUUACUGACAGAGACAAAUGGGGCAAGUUGUCCAAUGGAACGAGCACAACCCAGAGCCCAGAUGCAGGAGAACCUUCCAGAACCCCACAGAGACACACUCAGGCACCCCCUGGGCAUGGACAGCCCCCAGUCUCUCCCCUUCUCCUCGGGGCUGUUGUGUCACUGCCAGGAGCCUUGUGACCACCCCCUCCUGCUGAAAGUGUCCUGUAAAGAUCUAAUUCUGUGUGAUGAACUGUAUGAUAAUGUAUAUUUAAUGUGAAGCUUUUAAUAUACACGUGUUUUGUUUAAACUGUACCUCACUGAGCCUGCAUGUUUUCUUUCUUUCAAAUGCAAACGUGUGCCAGGGGUCUAGUUUGAUUGCCUUCUUCUUGCCGAAGUUGAAGUUCUGCCAUCAUUCCCCAAAGAUGGAUCGUUAUGGAAAAAAAGGAAACUUCCUGCUUCGUAAUUAGGAGGAAGCUAGAGCCCUAAUGAGCUCGUUAAGUGAAAACAAAUUAAUUUGUUCAGCAAACAUUUGUUGAGUCCUUGAGCCUAGUGGCUACAGAGGAGAACAGAGCCCAAGCCCUGCCCUCAGGAAGUUUCCAGUGUGGAGGAAAACAGGCAACUCCACGUGAUGCAAUAGAGGCGGGCCAGGGGUGGGGGCAGAUGAGGGGGGAUUGAGUCUGUUUGCAGCGGUCAGGAAAGUUGUGCCUUGGAGGAUGAGUCGGGAGCCUGAAAGCCUGGUACUCCCAGCAGAGGUAACAGGUGGGGGGGUCACAGUGUAGCACAGCCUGCAUAGUAGGAGAUGGCGAGGUCUCUGGGCCUCUGAGGGCUUCAUCCUGUGGAGGCAAGGAGAGGGGAGUUCAUCGCUUGUGGCAGGAAGCCAUUCUUGGUUUUCCUGAAGACUGGGAGGUGCUGGCCCGUUGAGGCCUUACCUGGUGACUUGGGCAGUAAAGAAUCUGCCUGCAAUGCAAGAGACCUGGGUUUGAUCCCUGGAUUAGGAAGAUCACCUGGAGAAGGGAGUAGCAACCCUCUCCAGUAUUCUUAGAGAAUUUCAUGGAUAGAGGAGCCUGGCGGGCUACAAUCCAUGGGGUCACAGAGUCGGACACAACUGAGCGACUAACCCUUGCACUUUCUGCGUUCCGGGGAGAGGCAGCCAGUCUCGGCCGGAAGGGAAGGCAGCUCCAAGUCAAUUGGCCUGUUACACAGACGGAAACUGAAGCCCAGGCUCUUGUGCUUUCCAGCUGUGCGACCUGAGCAAGGUGUAAGAAGCUUCCAUUUUCUCCAUGGUAAAGUGGCAUGAGAAGUGACCUCACGGGGUUACUGCAAAGAUUACACGCAGUGUUGGAUAAACACCGUUCACAUGUCUUAGCUUUCGUCAACCUACAGACAGCAUCAGCUAGGAUGAGAACAAGGUGUGCUUUCAGCAAAGGCAGCGUUCAAUACAGCCACAGAAUUCAAAGGAAAGAGGGUCUGGGGUUCUAGAAAGGCUUCCUGUAGGAGGUGACAGAGGAGCCCACUUUACAAAUGAAAAGUGCCCCAGCACCACUGAACAUCAUGAAGGAUCAGUGCUCAAGAUCAUUUUCCUGUCCGGAUUGAAGUCCAAAAUUGCUCUCUUCAUUCCCUACCUCUGCAUCUUCUGCUAUCCCAUCUUUAUGUAUUUGAAUUAAUGCUAACAUACUAUAUUAUUUAAAUAAUAAGCAGCUGUUGUGUUUACCAUUUAACUAAUUAUCAUAUCACAUUUAUUGUCUUUACUGUUUAAGCAUCAAAUCCAUGCAGUGUGUUGACUGUUUAUUAAACACAUAUCAUGUUCAUUAUUUAUCUGUCUCCACCCACUAGAAUGUGGACUCCACACAAGCAGAAGUCUAGGAGAGCUCCUGACACAUAGUAGGUGCUUAAUAAGUAUUUGUUAAAUGACAUAACAAUGAUAACAGUUCCCAUAUACGGGGGCUUACUGUGUGUGCCCUACACGUUGUGCACACCUGGUCUGUAGGUGUGUAGGUCUAGGACUCAGACCUGGGUCUGCUGAUCUUGCAACAUGCCACAUCUACUUCAGUGGGUCCCACCUUUGCCUCAUAUAGUUCACUCAGGCCUCUUGUAAAUUACAAAUUCCUAAGCCCUUCUUUUCUAAGUACUUGGAUGCAAUCUCAAAAACGACAGAAUGAUCUCUGUUCGUUUCCAAGGCAAACCAUUCAAUAUCACAGUAAUCCAAGUCUAUGCCCCAACCAGUAAUGCUGAAGAAGCUGAAGUUGAACGGUUCUAUGAAGACCUACAAGACCUUUUAGAACUAACAUCCAAAAAAGAUGUCCUUUUCAUUAGAGGGGCUGCUGCUGCUGCUGCUAAGUCGCUUCAGUCGUGUCCGACUCUGUGCGACCCCAUAGACGGCAGCCCACCAGGCUCCCCUGUCCCUGGGAUUCUCCAGGCAAGAACACUGGAGUGGGUUGCCAUUUCCUUCUCCAAUGCAUGAAAGGGAAAAGUGAAAGUGAAGUUGCUCAGUCGUUUCCGACUCUUAGCGACCCCAUGGACUGCAGCCUACCAGGCUCUUCCGUCCAUGGGAUUUUCCAGGCAAGAGUACUGGAGUGGGGUGCCAUUCAUUAGAGGGGACUGGAAUGCAAAAGUAGGAAGUCAAGAAACACCUGGCUGCUGCUGAGUCACGUCAGUCGUGUCCAACUCUGUGCGACCCCACAGACAGCAGCCCACCAGGCUCCCCCAUCCCUGGGAUUCUCCAGGCAAGAACACUGGAGUGGGUUGCCAUUUCCUUCUCCAAUGCAUGAAAGUGAAAAGUGAAAGUGAAGUCGCUCAGUCGUGUCCGACCCUCAGCGACCCCAUGGACUGCAGCCUUCCAGGCUCCUCCAUCCAUGGGAUUUUCCAGGCAAGAGUACUGGAGUGGGGUGCCAUUGCCUUCUCCAAAGAAACACCUGGAGUAACAGGCAAAUUUGGCCUUGGAAUAUGGAAUGAAGCAGGGCAAAGGCUAAUAGAGUUUUGCCAAGAGAACGCACUGGUCAUAACAAACACCCUCUUCCAACAACACAAGAGAAGACUCUACACAUGGACAUCGCCAGAUGGUCAACACCAAAAUCAGAUUGAUUAUAUUCUUUGCAGCCAAAGAAGGAGAAGCACUAUAUAGUCAGCAAAAACAAGACCAGAAGCUGACUGUGGCUCAGACCAUGAACUCCUUAUUGCCAAAUUCAGACUUAAAUUGAAGAAAGUAGGGAAAACCACUAGACCAUUCAGGUAUUACCUAAAUCAAAUCCUUUACGAUUAUACAGUGGAAGUGAGAAAUAGAUUUAAGGGCCUAGAUCUGAUAGAGUGCCUGAUGAACUAUGAACUGAGGUUCGUGACAUUGUACAGGAGACAGGGAUCAAGACCAUCCCUAUGGAAAAGAAAUGCAAAAAAGCAAAAUGGCUGUCUAGGGAGGCCUUACAAAUAGCUGUGAAAAGAAGAGAAGCGAAAAGCAAAGGAGAAAAGGAAAGAUAUAAGCAUCUGAAUGCAGAGUUCCAAAGAAUAGCAA
ensembl:lncRNA